CAAUAGCGUAUAUUAACGUUGUUGCAGUUAAAAAGCUCGUAGUUGGAUUUCUGGAGGGAGCGUCGGCCCGUAUUUACGAGUGCGUGACGUCUCUGUCCAUCCUUGCGGGAAGGCACGGCAUUGAUUUGUUGUGUCGGAUCGCAUCAUUUACUGUGAAAAAAUUAGAGUGUUCAAAGCAGGCUUUCGCUUGAAUACAUUAGCAUGGAAUAAUAAGAUAGGACUUGGGUGCUAUUUUGUUGGUUGAGCCUAAAGUAAUGAUUAAUAGGGAUAGUUGGGGGCACCUGUAUUGCGUUGUCAGAGGUGAAAUUCUUGGAUUUACGCAAGACAAACAGCUGCGAAANCGNNNGCCAAGGAUGUUUUCAUNAA
rnacentral:rRNA from 1 species